GACGAACGCUGGCGGCGUGCUUAACACAUGCAAGUCGAACGGAAAGGCCCUGCUUUUGUGGGGUGCUCGAGUGGCGAACGGGUGAGUAACACGUGAGUAACCUGCCCUUGACUUUGGGAUAACUUCAGGAAACUGGGGCUAAUACCGGAUAGGAGCUCCUGCUGCAUGGUGGGGGUUGGAAAGUUUCGGCGGUUGGGGAUGGACUCGCGGCUUAUCAGCUUGUUGGUGGGGUAGUGGCUUACCAAGGCUUUGACGGGUAGCCGGCCUGAGAGGGUGACCGGCCACAUUGGGACUGAGAUACGGCCCAGACUCCUACGGGAGGCAGCAGUGGGGAAUAUUGCACAAUGGGCGGAAGCCUGAUGCAGCAACGCCGCGUGCGGGAUGACGGCCUUCGGGUUGUAAACCUCUUUCGCCUGUGACGAAGCGUGAGUGACGGUAAUGGGUAAAGAAGCACCGGCUAACUCCGUG
rnacentral:rRNA from 1 species